CAGCCGCCGCGGUAAUACGUAGGGUGCAAGCGUUAAUCGGAAUUACUGGGCGUAAAGCGUGCGCAGGCGGUUCGGAAAGAAAGAUGUGAAAUCCCAGAGCUUAACUUUGGAACUGCAUUUUUAACUACCGGGCUAGAGGGUGGCAGAGGGAGGUGGAAUUCCGCGUGUAGCAGUGAAAUGCGUAGAUAUGCGGAGGAACACCGAUGGCGAAGGCAGCCUCCUGGGAUGACACUGACGCUCAUGCACGAAAGCGUGGGGAGCAAACAGGAUUAGAUACCCUGGUAGUCCACGCCCUAAACGAUGUCAACUAGCUGUUGGGGCCUUAGGGCCUUGGUAGCGCAGCUAACGCGUGAAGUUGACCGCCUGGGGAGUACGGUCGCAAGAUUAAAACUUAAAGGAAUUGGCGGG
rnacentral:rRNA from 1 species